rnacentral:lncRNA from 1 species
AGGUAUAAGCUUGGUAGUUUGCGCUUUGAUUUUUGAAGUUCCGUAAUUUUGUGUCUGGUAAUUAAUUUGAAAUUGUGAUGGUUGGUUUAGGCACUCAAGCUGCACCUAGGAAAAAGGGAACAGCUGCUUCUGCUUGAGGGUAUUUCAGGAUUCAGAUUUGGAUCUUAUGUUAAAGUGUACUUCUAUUGGUAUUUUAAAUCAUUAAGGGAACAAUUGAAUUUUCUAGAACAUCGUUUGAAGCGUUUUUGCCUUUAUUUCUGUUUUUUCUAUGGUUCAUUAUAUUUGAAGAAGUACCUUGCUUGCAUGUUUAACUCUGAACUUUUAUGUAUGCAUUUCCUGUGGGUCAUUAUUUUGCGAUAAUGAUAAUAGUUGUCUUGUUUGUGCUGAUUGUACUUCUGUAGACUUGAGAUGAUGAAAGCUCCUCGACUGUGAGAAUUGAUAGAAGUUUGGAGGGAGGGGGUGUGCGUAAGGUGAAGUGUUAUUUAGAUUUUACAAAUUGUCUCCUGUAUUCCAAAAUUGUCUCAAAAUGUUGUAGAAUAAUACCACAUAUACCGUAACUUUCUGAGUAUACCAUUACAGAUUUGUUGAUUAGAGGGUUAUGUGUGGGCUUUUGUCCUUUAAGAUCCUUAGAAAAGGUUCUUAACUGCCAAGUUCUGAAGUCCAUCUCCAUGUUUUAGGUCAUUUAACACGAUAGCAAUUCAGGGCAUUAGAAUACGUAUUGAAGAUUUGCUCUGGCUACAUCUUGUGAUUCUGGGUCCUGGUGACCUUUUAAUGCUAAGAGAUGGGCGAAUGACUAUUUAGAUUUGGUAUGCUGACUGGCUAAAUAUACUUUAUUACCUGUGGAAGGGUUUUGUGAGCCUGUAAAUUCUUAUAAGUUGUUGUUGAAUGAUGAAGUUGGAGUUCUGCACAGCCUUGACAUACCUCUUUGAUGCAUAUACUCUUCGUAUGAAAGAUUUCAAGAGGGUUUUGUCUUUGGGGUUAGUUAUAUCAAGAUUUCAAUUCCGUUUGACUCAUCUUUUUGCUCUCAUGAAAUGACGGAGAUCUCUAACCCUCAACCACAUAAAACCCCAUGAAAUCUUUCAUAUGAAGAGUCUGCAUCAAUUCCAUGUGACCUGCUUUCUGCUGAGUAGUUUCUUAGAAAAAAUAAAACUAAAAAAUUCCAUCUUCUUGCAAGCUGAGGGAAAUAACUUAUGUUGACCAAUAGUUGUUAUGCCUACAUAUUCUGGGACAUAAACUCGUGUGCAAUUUUUUUCAUUUUAUUUCCUAGUUUUAGUGAGGGGCCAAUGGGACAAUAGUUGAGCUACUUAUGUGCUCGUCGUGUUGCUCUCUAUUUAACCGAAGUGGAUAAUAGUUUUAUGUGCAACUUGUGUUACUACCACGUAAAUGAAGUGGACUAGUGACAGGCAAGAGGUGACCUGGGAGUGGUGCAGGGAGGGCGCUGGACGGAAAGAGGCAAAGGUGGGGGAGAGAUGAGAGGGGUAAUAUUGGGCUGGAAAGAUGUAGUGUCACUCGCUAGCUCCUUUAUGUCAUUUUUCUUUUGAACAAAUUUUUAGAUGGGAUAGAGAAUGUUCAUUUUCUGCUGUGUCACUCACUGGCUCUAUGAUGUCAUUUUUCUUUUGAACAAAUUUUUAGAUGGGAUAGAGAAUGUUCAUUUUCUACUUUAUUAAAGGUUUAGACCACAUGCUACUCCAAUAAUGGUAUUUCGUUUUGAGGUAAUAAUGAGCACUUGACAAUUUGGAGGGUUAAAGAAUGUUUACUUUUGGUCGUGUAGGGGAAAAAAAUUAAAGAAAAAAGGAAAACAAUCUUGGUAGGAGCUAUGUGCUUGCCUGAUAAAAAUUUGUUAGAAUUUUAAUAAAUGUUGGAGAUCUGAUUAAUAGAAAAGUGAAAAUCAUUCUUUAGGUCGAAAUUCAUGGUAAAAUUACGCUAGAAUUUCAAUAGGUUGUAGACUUCAUUAACGCUUUUUAGUUCCAGAAAAAUCACUUUCCACACGCCCCGUCAGCCCCAAUUUCAUACAUUAUUUUACAUAUUAUGAGUUUUCAAUACAUUAUGUUUUCGUUGUGCCCAAAUGCUCCCCUUUUUAUUUUUUAUUCAUUGAUGUUGACAUCCGAUACGUUCGGACACCAGAUAUCUUGAGAUUAGAUCAAGGUCGCCAUAAUUAAUGGAAACAUAGUUUUGAUUAAAUCUCGGUUGGUUUAGGCACUCAAGCUGCACCUAGGAAAAAGGGAACAGCUGCUUCUGCUUGAGGGUAUUUCAGGAUUCAGAUUUGGAUCUUAUGUUAAAGUGUACUUCUAUUGGUAUUUUAAAUCAUUAAGGGAACAAUUGAAUUUUCUAGAACAUCGUUUGAAGCGUUUUUGCCUUUCGGAUCCUUAUUGAUGUUAAUUUUGUUUGGAUACAUGAGUUUGCAUUUUAAUUCUUACAGACAGGAGAUUGACACCAA